rnacentral:rRNA from 1 species
CAGCAGCCACGGGAAUACUGAGGGUGCGAGCGUUAAUCGGAAUUACUGGGCGUAAAGCGCACGCAGGCGGUCUGUCAAGUCAGAUGUGAAAUCCCCGGGCUUAACCUGGGAACUGCAUUUGAAACUGGCAGGCUAGAGUCUUGUAGAGGGGGGUAGAAUUCCAGGUGUAGCGGUGAAAUGCGUAGAGAUCUGGAGGAAUACCGGUGGCGAAGGCGGCCCCCUGGACAAAGACUGACGCUCAGGUGCGAAAGCGUGGGGAGCAAACAGGAUUAGAUACCCGCGUAGUCCCUGUCUCUUAUAC